rnacentral:lncRNA from 1 species
UACAUUUGUCUCAACGAUUAUUUUUAAUUGAUUUUGAGUUGAAUGCAAUCUAAUACUAAUUCGCACACUACAAAUAGUCAAUGCCAUUUUCUUAAAAAUACGCAAGGAGAAGUAGCACAAUAAACAUUUUUUUAACAAGCUGAAAUUACGGCGAUUUUCUUCUAGGGAUCUUUAUAAACAUAUAGUCAUGUUCAAUCCAGUCCAUGCAUUCAUUGUCUUGUUGGCUGUCCAAAAGAUUUGUGUGAAUGAUAUUUGUGAAAAUUUGCUCUUGAGGUAAAUGAUGUCUUCAAUAGUAGACUUAAUUUUCCAAAGAAGUUAUGCCUUACCAUUGAAAAGGACUGUUGUUGGUCUCAAAAUCCGUCUUGGCCACGAAUUGAGGAUUUGAAGAUCUCUUGGCCGCUUCUAGUUCGUGUUGUGGGCGUGCCAACUCGCAGCUUGGGGGCCGAUCGAGUAAAAAGUGAUUUGGGCUUUGUCUAACUUUUUCAAAAUGACUGUGAUUGAAAAAAGAACGUGUCUCGAUUGUAGGCUCUCUGUCUUUCGUAUUAUGUGCAAGGACUUGAAAGGCGUAAUUAAUCUUUGACUAUGGGUCUUGUGACGGGAUGGGUGAAUUCAUAUGUUCUUGUGAUGGGCAAGUGAUGUGGUUUUUACUACCUACAAAAAAGGGUUAAAAACACUUAAAAAUUACUUGCAAGAAAAAAAAGUUAUUGUAGUAUAAACGGUUCAAGUAAGGUCGUUCUUGACAAAGAUUAAUAUGAAUAAUUUGUAUUUAAAACCAACUCUUAAUUAACUAUUCAACACAAGAAUUUGAAAAGAUUUGAAAUUGUGAAUUUUAAGUAAUAAG